rnacentral:tRNA from 1 species
AGAAUUUUAGUUUACAAAAAACAUUAGCCUGUCAGUUUAAAAAUACUCUUUGAGUAAAUUCUA